GAUGAACGCUAGCUACAGGCUUAACACAUGCAAGUCGAGGGGAAACGACAUCGAAAGCUUGCUUUUGAUGGGCGUCGACCGGCGCACGGGUGAGUAACGCGUAUCCAACCUGCCCAUCACUUGGGGAUAACCUUGCGAAAGUAAGACUAAUACCCAAUGAUAUCUUUAGAAGACAUCUGAAAGAGAUUAAAGAUUUAUCGGUGAUGGAUGGGGAUGCGUCUGAUUAGCUUGUUGGCGGGGUAACGGCCCACCAAGGCAACGAUCAGUAGGGGUUCUGAGAGGAAGUUCCCCCACAUUGGAACUGAGACACGGUCCAAACUCCUACGGGAGGCAGCAGUGAGGAAUAUUGGUCAAUGGACGAGAGUCUGAACCAGCCAAGUAGCGUGCAGGAAGACGGCCCUAUGGGUUGUAAACUGCUUUUAUAAGGGAAUAAAGUGAGUCUCGUGAGACUUUUUGCAUGUACCUUAUGAAUAAGGACCGGCUAAUUCCGUGCCAGCAGCCGCGGUAAUACGGAAGGUCCGGGCGUUAUCCGGAUUUAUUGGGUUUAAAGGGAGCGUAGGCCGGAGAUUAAGCGUGUUGUGAAAUGUAGACGCUCAACGUCUGCACUGCAGCGCGAACUGGUUUCCUUGAGUACGCACAAAGUGGGCGGAAUUCGCGGUGUAGCGGUGAAAUGCUUAGAUAUCACGAAGAACUCCGAUUGCGAAGGCAGCUCACUGGAGCGCAACUGACGCUGAAGCUCGAAAGUGCGGGUAUCGAACAGG
rnacentral:rRNA from 1 species